rnacentral:lncRNA from 1 species
AACACCGGCUUGGAUGAAUCACUAAGAUAACCACACAAUCGAACCUGAUCGAUUAUCUUAAAAGGUAGUACCCUCUGAUUUUCAAAGUUGUUGUGCAGGUAGUUGAUGACGAGUUUUUCCAGUUUAAAAUUUAGUCCACAAUAGCUGAUGAAUAAGUUCACAAAAUUAUCACACAAAACAUCAUUUUAGACUGUCAUAGCUAUCAUCUCUAUUAUUUCACCCUCCUUC